rnacentral:rRNA from 1 species
UACGUAGGGGGCAAGCGUUGUCCGGAUUUAUUGGGCGUAAAGAGCGUGUAGGCGGCCAGACAGGUCCGUUGUGAAAACUCGAGGCUCAACCUCGAGACGUCGACGGAAACCGUCUGGCUAGAGUCCGGAAGAGGAGUGUGGAAAUCCUGGUGUAGCGGUGAAAUGCGCAGAUAUCAGGAAGAACACCUAUGGCGAAGGCAGCACUCUGGGCCACUACUGACGCUGAGAAGCGAAAGCAUGGGGAGCGAACAGG